rnacentral:rRNA from 1 species
UGGGGAAUAUUGGACAAUGGGCGCAAGCCUGAUCCAGCCAUGCCGCGUGAGUGAUGAAGGCCUUAGGGUUGUAAAGCUCUUUCGCACGCGACGAUAAUGACGGUAGCGUGAGAAGAAGCCCCGGCUAACUUCGUGCCAGCAGCCGCGGUAAUACGAAGGGGGCUAGCGUUGCUCGGAAUCACUGGGCGUAAAGGGCGCGUAGGCGGACUUUUAAGUCAGGGGUGAAAGCCCGGGGCUCAACCUCGGAAUUGCCUUUGAUACUGGAGGUCUCGAGACCGGAAGAGGUGAGUGGAACUGCGAGUGUAGAGGUGAAAUUCGUAGAUAUUCGCAAGAACACCAGUGGCGAAGGCGGCUCACUGGUCCGGAUCUGACGCUGAGGCGCGAAAGCGUGGGGAGCAAACAGG